AUGAAUCCAUCCUCGACCCCCGGCCCGGAUGGCCUCCCGAUGAAGUUCUUCCAGACUUUCUGGGAGGUAAUUAAGCCAGAGGUGAUGGCCCUUUUUGAGGAGUUCUACGUAGGAUCCAUCGACCUCACUAGGCUGAACUUUGGGAUAAGCACCCUCAUCCCCAAAGUAACUAGAGCAUCGGAUAUCCGCCAAUUCCGCCCGAUUACGACGAUGAAUGUCAUAUUCCGCAUCCUUGUGAAGGGGUACACCGUUAGGGUGGCCCCCAUUGCGGACUGGAUCACCCACCUUGAUCAGUCGACAUUUAUCCAGGGAUGUUAUAUCCUUGACGGAGCCCUAGUGUUUCACGAAGCACUCCAUGAGGUACCCGCCAAACACCUCAAGGCGGUCUUCCUGAAACUUGACUUCCAAAAGGCAUAUGACACGGUCAGUUGGUCCUUCCUUCGGGAAUGCUUGCUUCGGAAGGGCUUCGACGACAGAUGGGUGACUCGCGUGAUGCAAAUGGUCUCCUCGGGCCGGACCGCAUUUAACAUAAAUGGCGAGAUUGGGCCAUACUUCCCCACAUUCUGUGGGGUUUGUCAGGGUGAUCCCUUCUCUCUGUUCCUCUUCAACAUGGUUGUUGAUGCUAUAGCAGCCAUCUUAGAUAAAGCCAAGGCUGCGGGGCAUAUUAAGGGCAUAGUCCCGCACCUAGCAGGCGGGAAUGGGAUUUCCCUCCAAUUUGCAGAUGACACCAUUAUCAUAGUGGACGGAUCAGCGAGCGACAUCACAAACUUGAAGUUCCUCCUGCUUUGCUUUCAGCAGAUGUCUGGCCUCAGGAUCAACUUUGAUAAGAGUGCGGUGAUGGUCUUGGGAUACUCCCAAGACGAGCGAUAG
rnacentral:rRNA from 1 species